rnacentral:rRNA from 4 species
UACGAACUGUGCGAACGUUAUUCGGAAUCACUGGGCUUAAAGGGUGCGUAGGCGGCGCUGUAAGUCAGGUGUGAAAUCCCCCGGCUCAACCGGGGAAUGGCGCUUGAAACUGCAGUGCUUGAGUGAGGUAGGGGUGCAUGGAACUUCCGGUGGAGCGGUGAAAUGUGUAGAUAUCGGAAGGAACGCCGGCGGCGAAAGCGGUGCACUGGGCCUUGUCUGACGCUGAGGCACGAAAGCUAGGGUAGCGAACGGG